ACGAUCGAGGCGCCGGCAGGCCAAGGUUUGGGUUCCUCCUCCCUCCUCCGUCAAGCCACUCGCGGUCGCGGAUUAUCUCGUGCGCGGCUUAAUCGUUGCUGUGUGCUGGUCUCUCGUAAUUUCCGGUGAAGGACUUGCUCUGGGGUUAGGUUUUCAGGCUGUGAUUCUCGGUUCCUUUUCGGUUGUUCCUGUCUCCGCGAGUUCCUUGUCCCCAAGGAAUGCGUAAGCAUUCGGUUUACUCUGUUGAUGUAUUGUGUUCUAUGCAAGAUACGGAGUAUUACAGAGGAAUUGUCGUUUGUAACAGGGCCGUAGUACUGGUCCUCUAGAUUAAUUGCUUAAGUAGCCUAUUAAUCACGAUUUCGUGUUCAUCUUGGUGAUUAUAGGUAUUUAGGGCAUCUGUAUUUGUCGAUUGUGAUGCCAAGAUUGGUCCUUAUGUAUGGGCUAUAGUCAUGGUAAGAUUAGCCAACAGUUCAAGCCCUAUCUGGAAUGCGGGAAUUUGCUUGUACUUAGUUGUGGAACAGUUCAAUUACCGCAAAAACCUAGGGUUGUGUUCCCAGUUUGAGUAAAUGAUGUCAUUGAGAUGUGUGUAGCUUUAUAUUCUCAUGCUCGAUUACUUCUUCCUUGUGAUCAUCUAGGUGUAUUACAUGCCAAAAAAUAUUCUUUGCCAACGGCUUCAGUGUUCUCUUCCCCCCGGACAGUGUAUGCAGAAUCGGUCUUUUGGGAUUGUUGCCUUGCUUUAUGAUUAUUAGAUGUGUUCUCUAUUUUUAUUCUUCAAGUUUCCUUGUGGUCAGCUAGGUAUAUUAUGCUAAAAGAAAAUCUUCCGCAACUGCUUCAAUGUUCUCUUUUCCCCGAACAGUGUAUGCAGAAACGGUCUUUUAGGAUUGUUACCUUGCUUUAUGAUUAUCAGAUGUGUUCUCUUUAUGAUUCACUAUUUUUAUUCUUCAUAUUUCGUUAAUGAGUUUAGCUCUUGAGCUGAAGUUAUUGAGUUUUCGCUGCUGUGGUUUAGAGUUGGUUCAAAAUCUGGAAAUUAUUGGCAUUGAAGUACCAUUUGAUUGUCUCACCACUAGCAGAAUUAUGCAUUCAGUCUAUCCUAUCCUAUGUCAGUCCAUAUAGGUCUAGCUAUACAAAUUCUUCACUUUUAUUGUUUUGGAAUUAGCUUCUAUGGAGUUCCCUUUGUUUCCCAACAGAGUUCGUGGUGCCAUGACAUUCUCAUGUGUAUGUUCCUAAUUCAACAAUCUGUCUCUGAACUUCGCUUUUGGACUCCUGAGUACAUUUUGUUUGGGAACUGCAUACUAUGUUUGAUUUAAAUGGAUUGUUGAGAUCAAAAUCCACACGGUAGAUGAACUGAGUAUCUGAUAAGCUCCCAUGCGUAGAACACCUCUUGGAGUAUCAACUUAGCUCUAAAAUCAACCAUAUUUUUUCUGAUACGUACAACAGAUACUCCCUGCUCCAAACAUAAAAUUUGUUCAUGUAAGUAAAACCAGCAUACUGCAAAACUCCACAGUUGCUGCUAGGUUAACAAGUGUAGGUUUGAAACAGAGGGAAGGGUGGAAAAUUAGAUUAGGUAAAACCUUGUGGCACUAUACCUUGAUAAUUCUAUAGCACUGGUGCAGCAUCUGGCCCAAGUAUUUUGAGGAGUCUAUCUGUACUUUUAUUAAUCAUUAAUGUGUUGGUACAUAUAUAUUGAGAAAUGAAACUUCUGUCACGGAUGUUUUAGUUUUCUGCUUUUCUUGUUGGAAGCACGACUGCUUCUUGCAAAACCUGUUUGACAGUUUGGAUGAAAUUGUGUCACAUGCCUUAUUUAGUUUGGGAGGUACUAACCUCCUGUUGUAGUUUAGCAGUGUCUGUUCGAAAAGAAAUAUUAUUCUAGUCUUUCACUGAUCAGUUGUGUAAUUGCAUAUGAAUCGAAGCACUAGGGGGUAACCCAAGAAGGUAGAUAGCACAAAAUUCUUCACUAGGACCGUGACAACAGUGACUUUCUGUUAUUCCUACUGUUCCCUUGGUAAAACGUAUAGGAUGUACUUCUCACGAUCAGCACUGCAGCUAAGAUGAACAUGCAAUCUCUCUUUUUCUUUUAAUUUUCAGAACAUUUACAGUCUUUCUCACUACUCUGAUUCUUCUUUAUCAGUGGAUGCAAAGUCACAAACAAGAGCUUUUAGGACUUCAUGUUUUGAAACAAGUUAAAUCAUAUAGUUUCUGUUAUUUUUUCUCAUGCUCCUGUUCUCUGAACAUAUUAACUGGAAGCAUCACAUAAUUUGUUAGCUUUUUACAGACGAGUGUGCUUUGAUUUUUGUUUAAGAUUGCAGCUAUCUUCAUGUUGUUUGUUCCAUGAAUAUUCUUAUAUACCAUCAAAAUAACUUCUGUUAAUUAUGUUCAGUACUGAUGAAUUUUUUAUUGACUAUUUUGAACACUGUCAUUUUCAAGUUAAGUUUGUACUCCCUCCGUCCCAAAAUAUAAGAACGUUUUUGACAUUAUGCUAGUGUCAAAAACGUUCUUAUAUUUUGGGACGGAGCCACGGAGGGAGUACUCUGUAACCUCAUAAAAGAGCAAUAUAUUUGUUUGGCUGUUUUCUGUUAACAAUAUUUACCCCUGUUCUUUCAUGUGCAAUUUGUAAUCAUCUAUCUAACCAUAUUUCCCUUAGAAAUUAGAGCGUAUCUGUUUGUCUAUUCUAAAACUAAGGUGUAGCAUCCAAGAGCUUGUCUUCAUUUAGUAUGCUUCAGUUUGUCUAUUGUGGGUUACUCUCUCCAUUCCAAACUAAUUGAAGUUCUAGCUUUGUCCUUAUUCAAAUUUGACCAAGUCAAAAAGAAAAAUAUAUCAAGACCUACAACACCAAAUUAGUUUCAUUACACUGAACCGGAUCUUGAAAACGGGAGUGAAUUGAAUCCGACUUCUUGGGAUUUCUUACAAAAUGUAUUUCCAUUUUAUAUAUAUUUGGUAUUGUAGAUCUAAGCAUAUUUUUCUAUAGACUUGGUCAAACUUAAAGAAGUUUGACUUAGACAAACUUAGAACUUCAAUAAUUUGGAAGGGUGAGAGUUUUGGUUUCUACUCCCUCCGUUCCUAAAUACAAGUCCUUUUAGAGAUUCCACUACAAAUUACAUGCGGAUGUAUAUAGACAUAUUUUAGAGUGUGGAUUCACUCAUUUUGCUCCAUAUGUAGUCCAUAGUGAAAUCUCUAAAAAGACUUGUAUUUAGGAACGGAGGGAGUAGAAUUUAGCAUCCUGAGCUUGCCCUUAAUUUGCUACACUCCAACUAUCCAUCUUGCAAUUAUGAAUGGUAUUGUUUCUUCACUUGCCUUGUUUCUUUCCAUGUGUGAAAAAAAUGGUUUCCAACUCAUAUUGGGUAUUUCUGUUUUGAUGCCAAACGAACCUCGGAAUAUUUGCAUAAUUUCUUAUUUUUAUUAGUGUGUAAUGUUCGUCACCAUCAAGCCAACAAUUCCUGGACUGUUUCUGAUGGACCAAAAUGUGUAGGGUUCGAUAUCUUUUUUUAUUGUUAUUUUGGUUAGGUAAUUUAUGCAUAUGAUAUUCACUGUUGUGACCAUGAGGUCAUGGGUUCAAGUCCUGGAAACAGCCUCUUACAGAAAUGUAGGGAAAGGCUGCGUACUAUAGACCCAAAGUGGUCGGACCCUUCCCUGGACCCUGCGUAAGCGGGAGCUACAUGCACCAGGUUGCCCUUUUUUUUAUAUUCACUGUUGUGCAGAUCGGUUUUUUCAGCAUCACUAGAGUCAAGGAGGCUUCCCUUGGACUGGUGCUAUGCACGCCCAUCAUAUUUUAUUUAGGUUAUGCCCAGAACUCUAAUAAGUGGAGCUUAGCAGUAGCAUACAGUGACUUAUUACUGGAUUUCACUGUUAUAAGCACAUACUUAUAAAUAUUAAAUCAUGACGCAAACUGUAUAUUUAAGAAUUGUCCCCAGUAUCCACCUUAUUAUUUUGCUUGUUGUUAGGCUAUAGAAAGUGUUGCUGCAACUUGGAAUUUGGUCGUAGCAUGCUCUUUCACUAUUCUUUGUGUCUUUUUUAUCAAUGUAUUAAUGUCAAGUCACUGUAUACACUCCUGUUUUGAAACAACAUUGACGUACUGAUGAGAUUUUAUUUUCUCUUGUUUUGAAACAGGAGUCUGGACUGGAUACACUCCUUCUCUUUUGUCCCGUGUGAUAAAAGAUUUAUAGCUUAUAAUAUCACAACAAUGUAUACAACUGUGCAAACAUACAUAUUCAUUACUGCUGAACUUGUAACUGCAGUAUUGUGUAAUUCUAUAUAUCCAUUCAUCUUGUUUUUUCCAUAUUGCAUUUGGGAUCAUAGUAGAGGUUCAUCUGAGGUAUUUCUUCUUUUUGAAAAGAAAGCAUAAAAGCGUUCUAGAUCUUCAGUAUUGUGUAACACCUAGAUACUCAUUCAUGCUGUCUUUGUUUUCUCUUUUUUAACUGAAGAAACACUUAAUCUUAGGUUUUAAAACAGUUUCUGCUUAUUUUUCAGUGCCAUUUAGAAGAUUUUGGUGGCCAGAGCACAAAGCAAGUCACUGAACCAUGCUCAUGGUCUGCUGGAAUAUCACACUAAAACUUCAUGCUUGUAAGUUUCCUCAUUUGUGAACCCUGAAUGAUUAACCUCAUACAAACCAGACAUCAAAUAUAUUUCAGUACAUAGUAGUCGUGCAAAACUUGCAUCUGUCAUAUUAGGAACUCAUUGUUGUCGAUAUGUACAUGUUAACUGAUGUUGGGCCUCCACAACCCACUACUGGCAUGACUAAAAGAGCCAGUCUUACAUCUUUUGUUAGGGAAACUACUAUACAUCUUAGACUUGUGGAGUAAUUUACAAGAUGCACAUACAAAUCUCUUCGGCACCUGAACAAAAUCACUAAUUCCAACACACCUAGUGUGCUGCCACACAUGGCAUGAGUCACAAGAUAGCAUCCUCUCACCAUCAUCAUCCUUCGCUCCACAUGAACAAUUAACUGUCCAUUGGUCUACACCCCUCUCCAUCCGAUAAAUUGCAACCCUGCGCUCACCUCCGACGCACUUGCCUUGGAUACUGACAGUCCCUUUUGCUCCAAAUAAGAGCUUGACUUGAGUUGUGUCAUCUGCAGUUGGACAAUCAAGAAGCUGGUUUGCUACAAAGCUUUGUAGCAUCAAGUAGAUACUUUGGAAUGUUCUCACAGCCUCCAUCUUCAGAUCAGCAACAGU
rnacentral:lncRNA from 1 species